rnacentral:misc_RNA from 1 species
CUUUCUGUCUCGUUCUACGCAGUCGCACACUCGCCAUCAUGUCCACCAAGUACCUCGCCGCGUACGCUCUGGCCUCCCUGAGCAAGGCGUCCCCGUCUCAGGCGGACGUGGAGGCCAUCUGCAAGGCCGUCCAGGUCGACGUCGACCAGGCCACCCUCGCCUUUGUGAUGGAGAGCGUUACGGGACGCGACGUGGCCGCCCUGAUCGCGGAGGGCGCCGCGAAGAUGAGCGCGAUGCCGGCGGCCAGCUCUGGUGCCGCUGCUGGCGUCGCUGCUUCCGCUGCGGGUGAUGCGGCCCCGGCUGCCGCCGCCACGAAGAAGGACGAGCCCGAGGAGGAGGCCGACGACGACAUGGGCUUCGGUCUGUUCGACUAACCUCAUCGACGCGUUGCGAGCUGUGACGUGUGACACGGCUGCGGUCCUGCUUCUCUCCUGCCCACCUUCAUCUUCUCGGAAGCCAAGUCGCCUAUCAUCCUCUCUUCUCGCGCGCGCGGCUGCCGCCUCUCUGUGGGCAUGUGUGUAUGUGCGUCGUGUCGCCCAUAGCGAGCUGCUGGCUCGCGCGCGCGAGAGAGAGAGAGCACGAGGCGAGGGGGAAGGGGAGGACGAAUGUGGAGUAGAGUGGGGUCCCUGCGCACGGGAAAAGCGUUCUCCCGGAAAGCGGUACCGACGCAUGCGCAUCGGAGGGGGUGUAUGAGGAUGCGAGACGUCGUUGUCUGCAUCCUCUCCCACCCCUCUCCGCAUGUGUGUGUGCGCACGUUUAUUUUUCGUUCUUUGAUAAUUUCUUCGCACUUACCAGUAUCUGGCAUAUAUGGCAUGCGUGCAGACACACAGACAGAGGCGCACAACACACAAGCGACGGGCGCCGGAGCGGUUCCCACAGACAUUUGCACUGUACCUAGCCUUGUCUAUGUGUAUAUGUGUGUGUGUGUGUAUGUGCAUGGGUGGGUGGAUGUGUCUCUCUCACGGCGGUGGUGCGACAACGCAGAGCGAAAGGAGAAGGGGGCAGGAGGGGGCGGCACUCCCGCUGCUCCCCGCUUCCCGCGUCGCCGCCCUCCACUCUCUCUCUCUCUCGAUACCAGUCUCGUAGCGGUGAGGAAGCGGGGAGUAACUCUGGAUAUCGCCGUGUGAGAGCGGUCCAACACGCCCACAUGCGCCCCACCGCUCUCCAUCUCAUCUCCCCCGCGACCAUCACACAUAUGCACGCGCCACUGUCUCUCCGUCAACUUCCUCCCGCAUGACUUUUUCGACACCACUGUCGACAUGCUUUCCUUUCUGCGCAUCCACGUGUUUUGCGCGUCUCCCCCCGCAUGGCCCCCUUGCCGCUGGUGCUGCUGCCGCCGCCUCCCGUGCGUGCUCUCGAUUCCAUGCCUCCGCGCACAUGCGCAACUGCAG